rnacentral:rRNA from 1 species
GAUGAACGCUAGCGGCGUGCCUAACGCAUGCAAGUCGAACGGUAAGCCCUUCGGGGCCUAGAGUGGCGAACGGGUGAGUAACACGUAGGUGACCUGCCUCAGAGAGGGGAACAACCAUUGGAAACGAUGGCUAAUACCCCAGAUGUCUAGUUGGCUAGAAAGACUAGACUAAAGCUUUUGCGCUCUGAGAGGGGCCUGCGGUCCAUCAGCUAGUUGGUGAGGUAAUGGCUCACCAAGGCGAAGACGGAUAGGGGGCGUGAGAGCGCGACCCCCCACACUGGUACUGACACACGGACCAGAUACCUACGGGUAGCAGCAGCGAGGAAUAUUGCGCAAUGGGGGAAACCCUGACGCAGCAACGCCGCGUGGAGGACGAAGGCCUUCGGGUUGUAAACUCCUUUUCUAAGGGAAGAGAAAGGACGGUACCUUAGGAAUAAGGCCCGGCUAACUACGUG